AUACAGCUAUUAUUAUCUUCUCUAUCUCAGUAGGUGUUAAUCUCCUUCCACCUGUUCACCAGAUUGUUCUUUCUACAUCACUCGGCACUUCAAACAGUACUUGAGGCCAACUAAUAUGACUUCCUAAACAGUUUUUAGGAAUCUCUCCCAAAUGCUGUGUCAAGAGUCUGUUCUUGAUGGUGGUUCUCUGGGAUCUCCUGAUUCACCUCCCUGCCUCCUCUCAACUAACACAAAGACUUGUGUGGGAGACCAGAAUAUGCCUUACCAUAGCAUGAAGGACUGUUGAGCUGAAGGCAUUUAAGAAGAAAUGAUACAGCAGAGCUUUCCGCCCUCCCUCUGUUUGCCUAAAAGCUGGACAUAGAUUUAUAAACACAAAAUAUAUUCUGGCCCUACCCUUUGUUCCUCUCCCCAGCAAGAACAAAGGUUAACCACUGAAGACAGCUUUAGAUCCUCAUCUGCCUGGAGAUGAUACCAGAGGAAUUUAUAUUAACAAUCUUUACUCACUAGCCUUUAUCUGCCAUAUAUUUUCCUUUCCCCGUGUUACUAUCCAUAGAAACUGAAAGUUAUUUUCCUUUGUGUUGUUACUUCUCUUAGAAUUUACUAUUCUUUGUUAAAAAUGCUAUAUAAUCCAGAAUUCAAAGCCACCUCUUUGAGCAUUACUCAUUUUCUAGGUGUCUUCCAUAUGUAUAUGAAAUAUACAUGUUAACAAACUUCUGUUUGUUUUUCUCUUGUUAAUCUGUCUUUUGUAGCAGAAGUCUGUGUUCCAAUCACAAAUCUAUGAGUGUUAUUAUUUUUCCCCUAAGCUUGCAAACAAUACACAUAGAAUUUGUGUAUAUCCUUCACCCAAUUUUCCCUCAUAUGAAGAAUUUCCCCUUCAUGUUACAUAUCCUUGGCACAACUAGAAAACUAAUAUUGGUACAAUGCUAUCACUAAACAAUAGGUUUUAUUCAAAUUUCUCCCUUUUUCCACUAAUGUUCUUUUUCUGUUCCAGGCUCCAAGGAAUAGAAUUUUAUCAAAAGACAGAAGAGGAGGAUAUUUGAGAGGAGGGGAAGUACCUAAUACUGAAAACUAAUACAGUCCAGGAUGCAUGGAAGAUGAUCAGUAACACUUAUUCAAUCUAAACUACCCUAUUAGAUAGUGCAGAAUUUUCUCUGCAUUGCUGUUUUCUUUCCUGCAGUUAGCUCUGUCAGGUUGAACAGAAAGUGAUCAAUAAAGAGGAAAAUAAUUCAUGUUGUUCCCUUGCUGCCUUGUUGUGUUGCCUACUGCACCACCAGUAAUAGAAAAUUAGGCCGUGAGCAUUUCAGUGCUAAUACACUCCAGUGGCUUUUCUGCCUUGGUCUUCCAGCUUUGGCCUCAUUGCAUCACACUAGUGAUUAGAACAAAUAUGCCAGUCUGUGCUGUGUUUUCCCAAAUAAUUUUUUUAUUUUGCAGGGUAGAAGGAACUAGGUGUGGAACCUGCUCUAUAAAAAGGGAUAAACAAAGGCAUUUUCAUCAUGGGCCUUCCUUCUAAAAGGCUUUUCCAACAGCCUAUUUUU